UAGCACUCGCAGAAAGGGUGGUAGGAGAGGACGAAGGCUGUAAGGUUGCUUGCUUCUCUUGUCAAGAAGGAGAUGCAGUUUCUUGUUGAGAAUGCUGCAGGUGUUAUUUUUGAUAUGGACUUGAAUCUUAUUCACCUCUACUAUGUAGUUCUACUGAUGUUGGCUUUGCCUAUAAAUUUUGCUUCUUUUUUCGUGGUUAAAUUUGUGAAACAAUUAUGAGAAAUAUGAAUUUUAGCCUACUAUCAUUCUGUUAGCUGGUUGAGAAUAUUCCAUGGUUUUUUGCGUCUCGUUGGUAUGCUGAUUGCAAUAUUUGUUAAAUGGGAAGGAA
rnacentral:misc_RNA from 1 species